CUGAAAUGUCACGAGGAAAGAAUUCUGCAGUGAUGUAUCCAAGGGUCUUGGAUUUAUUAGUGAAAUAUGUAACAGCCUCCAAAGACUCGCAUGAAAAGGAGCACAGGGAAACCAAAUGGAUCACAAAGACCUGGGCUGUGGAUGGAUAGCAGAAGACUUCAGUCACCUCCUGCUUUGGAGAUGAGAGAGUCUCCAGCCCACCUUCCUUCGGCUGUGCAGAAAGAUGUGUUCUGACCUCCGGCAGCGAUGAAUCCUUGCGCACACCUAUAUGUUACCAUACUUCCCGCAGUGCUGUUCAUGAAUGGGUCCACAAUGGAAUUUGGAGUAACUGGUGGUGGCCCACAGUCAACAGCUUAAAAGACAAAAUCUUACUGUUAGUAUAUUUACAUAUUAAUUACAGGCUAUGUGUUUUAAUACAGAGUAUAAGAUGUCGGCAUUUAUAGCAAGUUAACCCAGUUACUAUAAUGAACAUUUUAUCAGAGGUUCAAAUUCAUGCCGUUUGAUUUUAUCUGUUUUGUAUUCUUUUAAUAGCUGUGGAUCAACCCCCUUUGAGACUGUUUUUCAAAUUUUGUACCCUUCAUCAACUUUUCUG